rnacentral:rRNA from 1 species
AUUGAACGCUGGCGGCAUGCUUUACACAUGCAAGUCGUGCGGAAAGGCCCCUUCGGGGGUACUCGAGCGGCGGACGGCAGAGUAACGCGUAGGAACAUACCCCAAAGUGAGGGAUAACUGCUCGAAAGAGUAGCUAAUACCGCAUGUGGUCUUCGGAUUAAAGCCUUAGGGCGCUUUGGGAAUGGCCUGCGUUCGAUUAGCUAGUUGGUGAGGUAAAUGCUCACCAAGGCGACGAUCGAUAGCUGGUCUGAGAGGAUGAUCAGCCUGACUGGAACUGAGACACGGUCCAGACUCCUACGGGAGGCAGCAGUAGGGAAUUUUCCACAAUGGGCGAAAGCCUGAUGGAGCAAUGCCGCGUGCAGGAUGAAGGCCCUCGGGUCGUAAACUGCUUUUAUGUGAGAAGAAUAUGACGGUAACACAUGAAUAAGGGUCGGCUAACUACGUG